rnacentral:rRNA from 1 species
GGGAUAACACCUGGAAACAGAUGCUAAUACCGGAUAACAACACUAGACGCAUGUCUAGAGUUUGAAAGAUGGUUCUGCUAUCACUCUUGGAUGGACCUGCGGUGCAUUAGCUAGUUGGUAAGGUAACGGCUUACCAAGGCAAUGAUGCAUAGCCGAGUUGAGAGACUGAUCGGCCACAUUGGGACUGAGACACGGCCCAAACUCCUACGGGAGGCAGCAGUAGGGAAUCUUCCACAAUGGACGAAAGUCUGAUGGAGCAACGCCGCGUGAGUGAAGAAGGGUUUCGGCUCGUAAAGCUCUGUUGGUAGUGAAGAAAGAUAGAGGUAGUAACUGGCCUUUAUUUGACGGUAAUUACUUAGAAAGUCACGGCUAACUACGUGCCAGCAGCCGCGGUAAUACGUAGGUGGCAAGCGUUGUCCGGAUUUAUUGGGCGUAAAGCGAGUGCAGGCGGUUCAAUAAGUCUGAUGUGAAAGCCUUCGGCUCAACCGGAGAAUUGCAUCAGAAACUGUUGAACUUGAGUGCAGAAGAGGAGAGUGGAACUCCAUGUGUAGCGGUGGAAUGCGUAGAUAUAUGGAAGAACACCAGUGGCGAAGGCGGCUCUCUGGUCUGCAACUGACGCUGAGGCUCGAAAGCAUGGGUAGCGAACAGGAUUAGAUACCCUGGUAGUCCAUGCCGUAAACGAUGAGUACUGAGUGUUGG